AUGCAUUUACUCACACUCUUUCCAGGAAUUUAUCCUAAGAUGACAAUAAAACAGUUGGACCAAGACGGCGUACAAAGGUGCUUAUCAACGUUUCAUGAAGCCAAACACUCAGUGGGAUUCAGUAGGUGGCGUAGAAGAGCUUCCCCAGUCCACCCACAAACACCAAACCAGCGAAAUAAAAUGUUUGAGGAAGUAUUGGAUUUUUCUACAAACUGCCAACAGGACAGAGGAACAAGCCAACUUGUGAUGAAGGGGGCAUACAUGGCCCUCUUUGAUGUUUGAAGAGGUCAGGAUCACCAAGGCAUCACUGGGCAUCUCUGUGAAAGGGUAAGUCCAAGAAAUUCCCCCAACUAGAUAAAUUUGCAUGUCUUACUUGGGGAACUUUUACAACCCACGAUUGUUUCUGGGACAUGAAUUAUUUGGGUCCCUCAGCUCUCCUUGAGAGAUCUGAGGGGACAUGUGAAGAGGAAUUUAACUUUUUGCUGAUACUAAUGGCCUGCUUAUAUAAUGUGGUUCUAGGAGGUUUUGAAUAAGUUCCUUAAAAUAUCUGCAUAGCCAUGUAGCCCCCCCCCCACUGAGGGGGUCUCUGGUGGUGAGAGGGUUCACUGUCUAGGGUUCAUAUCAACAUGACCCCCUGGUCUCAUAUGCUAUGGGAAUGCUGAUAAUAAAAUAGUGUCUGAAUAAUGGUGGGCUUGUAUA
rnacentral:lncRNA from 1 species